UCUCCCUUCUCUUCCCCCUCCAGCCUCCACUCCUUCGCCCGCUCACUCACCCUCUCCCUCUCCCGCUGCCCCCCCUUUCUCCCCCACCUCUUUGUUUCAGCUGAGAACCAGCUCCUCGGGACAGUUCCCACACUGCAGUGCCUCUGGUGAGGAGACAGCGCCACUGAGGCCUCCUCUGAACUCCCAAAAUGUGACCUAUGCCAUCACCGAGGCCGCAGGAACAAGAGGUGGGUGUCCAUGACAUUGGUACCUGUCAUCCCUGUGUGCAGCAGGUGUGCCCCACCCUGGAGGCAGCAGAAGAAGAUGGACAAGAGCCUAGAAGAUCCCAGCCUUGCCACUGGGUAUGAGCACAGGACAGGGGGACGCUCAAUGCUAAGGCUGCCAGAGAAAAUACAGGACUUCCGGUUAAAUUUGAAUUUCAAAUAAACAAGUAAUUUUUAAAGUA
rnacentral:lncRNA from 10 species